ACGGGGCCGCCUGGAGAGGUGCUGGGAGCUGGGUGGAGCUUAGAGGAAUUAAACUUUGGCCCUGCGCCUCGUCCAGCCUAGGUUCCACCCUUUUCUGGGAAAAAUGAAUCUCGCUGUGUUGUCCAGGCUGGAGUGCAGUGGCACCAUCUCGGCUCACUGCAACCUCUAGCUCCCAGGUUCAAGCGAUUCUCCUGACUCAGCCCCCUGAGUAGCUGGGAUUACAGGCACGCGCCACCACUCCCAGGCACCGGUAGAUGGCAAAUAACAUGCUUUCUUUCUGUUCCCGGGCUGCGUUCGGACCCCUGUCGGAGAGUAAAUCCCAACUAAGGUACCUGCCGUCGGCAGAUUUGAGCUUUCUUCUUGGACACGUAUUACCCACAGUCCUCCAGACUCUGGUAGAUUGCAUAUAACCUGCUUUCUUUCUGUUCCCGGGCGGCAUCAGACCCGUCGGAGAGUAAAUCCCAAGUAAGGUACCUGCCGUCGGCAGAUUGGAGCUUUCUUCUUGGACACCUAAUACCCACAGUCCUCCAGCAGCUGCCAUCUUUUCUCUAUCUGACGCAUUCAGUGGAAAAGGCUUUGUCAGAUCGGGUAGCCCCGGGGCUGGGGCUGCCAGAAGGUUUUCCUUUAACUCAUGAAAGACUUGCUGUUGUUGGGAUCCCCAUUCCAAAGGUU
rnacentral:sRNA from 1 species